GACAGAGGGGGCAAGCGUUGCUCGGAAUUAUUGGGCGUAAAGAGCUCGUAGGCGGUGUGUCACGUCGGCCGUGAAAACCUGGGGCUUAACUCUGGGCGUGCGGUCGAUACGGGCAUCACUAGAGUUCGGCAGGGGAGACUGGAAUUCCUGGUGUAGCGGUGAAAUGCGUAGAUAUCAGGAGGAACACCGAUGGCGAAGGCAGCUGCCUGGCCUAACACUGACGCUGAGGUGCGAAAGCGUGGGGAGCGAACGGG
rnacentral:rRNA from 1 species